ensembl:lncRNA
NNNNNNNNNNNNNNNNNNNNNNNNNNNNNNNNNNNNNNNNNNNNNNNNCAAUUUUACAUGCGUUUUGAAUCUGACAACAAUAGGGACUGCUGUGAUGUUUUAGAUAAGGUAAAUUGUACUGUGAAGGACAGGAUUUUUAUAGAUCCACAUGCGGUAACCAAGGUUUUUAAAUCAAUGCACCUAAAAAAAGCGACGGGGCCAGAUAAUAUGUCCACUUUUCUUUUAAAGACAUUUGCAGAGGAAUUGUCUCCGGUAUGGCACCAGCUGUUCCAACUUUCUAUUGAUAAACAUGUUGUACCUGAGAUCUGGAAAAAGUCCACUAUAAUUCCAGUUCCAAAAAAGGCUUGUCCUCAGGAGGACAACGAUUAUAGGCCUGUUGCAUUAACUUCCAAUGUCUUCAAGGGCUUGGAACGACUUAUGUUAAAUGUACUUCGCUCAGAGGUGGAGCCAGUAUUAGACAAAUAUCAGUUUGCAUAUACAAAGAAACGAAGUACAAGUGAUGCCAUAUCAACUAUAAUGCACCUUACAUUGAAGCACCUUGAAUUUCCAGGUGCAUAUGCUAGACUGCUCCUUAUUGAUUUUAGCUCUGCUUUUAACACAAUUCAGCCACAUAUUCUCCUAAGAAAAUUAGCCCUUUUGAAUGUAAAUCCAUUUUUAAUCAGGUGGUACCACUCAUUCCUUACUAAGAGGCCACAGCAGGUGAAGUUUAAUUCCUCCUUAUCAAAUACAGAAAUAUGUAGUACUGGUGCCCCUCAGGGAUGUGUCAGUUCACCAUUUUUGUUUAUUCUGUAUACAAAUGACUGUGUUAGUUUUGAGCCUAAUCAAUAUGUGGUGAAGUUUUCGGAUGAUACAGCUGUUCUUAGUCUGCUCACUGAGAACUCUGACUCAUCCAUUCACAGAGAUGCUGUGGACAGGUUUGUGGACUGGUGCGACAAUCAUAAAUUACAGAUUAACACCUGUAAGACUGUAGAAAUGCUCUUUGAUCCCAAAUCAAUUGGUGACCGAAGCCCUGUGACGAUACAUGGCAAUAACAUUACUCAACAAAAUUCAUGCAAGUACCUAGGCAUUCACAUUGAUAGUGACCUGAGCUGGCAGACACAAGUAGCCACUGUGUGCGCCAGAAUCCAUCAGCGCCUCCACUUUUUACGGAGACUGCGGUUGUUUGGUGUCAGUAAAAACAUAAUGCUAAUUUUCUAUAGGGCAGCAAUAGAGUCUAUUUUACGGUAUGGUAUCACCAGUUGGUUUGGUAAUUUGAGUGUCAAACUUAAAUCACAGAUUCUCAACCUGGUCAGAGUAGCGGGCAGGAUUAUGGGUCACCCCCCUCUUAACCCUCAGGAACUGUUCAACGAGGCUGUCCUUACUCAGGCAAAAAACAUUCUAAAUGACAGUUCCCAUGUUUUGUGCAGCGAAUACUCGCAGAUGCCCUCAGGGAGAAGAUACAGGGUCUCUUUAUGUAAAUACAACCGGUUCAAACAUUCUUUUGUCCCAGUGUCAGUUAAGCUCAUUAAUGAGCAAAUGUAGGGAGGUUUUUAUCAGAACUGUAACAUCUUUUUUAAAUUCGUACUAGAAUUUUUAACAUGUAUAGCAUUUGUAGUGUGUGUUUGAAUGUGUAUUAGUACUGUAUUGUGCACUGCACUUUAAUAUGCACCAGCACUUUACUGUGCAUUGCACUUUAAAUGUGUAAUUGUAACUGCAAUGUACUUCAAGUAUUGGAGCUUGAUCCUCUUGCACUUUGGUCCCCAUCUGGUUGCCAGUUAUGUACCCUCUCCUUUGUUGGAUGUUUUAUGUUUUAUGUUGUCUAUAUGUUUUAUGUCUGCCUAUGCAGCAGUACCCUGUCUCUAAACCAAAUUUCUCCCAAGGGAGACGAAUAAAUGAACUUGACUUGACUUGACUUGACUUGGGAGAUAUAAUCAGGAAACAUGGUGUUAGCUUUC